AUACCAAUCAGUUAAAAAUUGAAAACAAAGUGGCAUCUGGAUCAUACGGUGAUCUGUACAGAGGCACAUAUUGCAGUCAGGAAGUUGCCAUCAAAAUCCUCAAGCCUGAGCGUGUCAGUGCAGAAAUGCUCAGAGAGUUUUCCCAAGAAGUUUACAUAAUGAGGAAAAUUCGACAUAAGAAUGUAGUACAAUUCAUAGGUGCAUGUACCCGACCUCCAAACUUGUGCAUUGUGACUGAGUUCAUGGCUAGA
rnacentral:misc_RNA from 1 species